UACGUAGGUGGCAAGCGUUGUCCGGAUUUAUUGGGUUUAAAGGGUGCGUAGGCGGCUUUGUAAGUCAGUGGUGAAAUAUGGCAGCUCAACUGUCAGGGUGCCAUUGAUACUGCGGAGCUUGAGUACAGAUGAGGUAGGCGGAAUUGACGGUGUAGCGGUGAAAUGCUUAGAUAUCGUCAAGAACACCGAUAGCGAAGGCAGCUUACUAGGCUGUAACUGACGCUGAGGCACGAAAAGUGUGGGGAUCAAACAGG
rnacentral:rRNA from 1 species